rnacentral:rRNA from 1 species
UACGUAGGGUGCAGGCGUUAAUCGGAAUUACUGGGCGUAAAGCGUACGCAGGCGGUUUGCUAAGACAGGUGUGAAAUCCCCGGGCUUAACCUGGGAACUGCGCUUGUUACUGGCAAGCUAGAGUGUGGCAGAGGGGGGUAGAAUUCCAGGUGUAGCAGUGAAAUGCGUAGAGAUGUGGAGGAACACCGAUGGCGAAGGCAGCCCCCUGGGUCAAGACUGACGCUCAUGCACGAAAGGCGUGGGGAGCAAACAGG